UAGGGAAUCUUCCACAAUGGGCGAAAGCCUGAUGGAGCAACGCCGCGUGAGUGAAGAAGGGUUUCGGCUCGUAAAGCUCUGUUGUUAAAGAAGAACACGUAUGAGAGUAACUGUUCAUACGUUGACGGUAUUUAACCAGAAAGUCACGGCUAACUACGUGCCAG
rnacentral:rRNA from 1 species